rnacentral:tRNA from 1 species
AAAAAUCAUAAGCCCAAUGCGGGGCUCGAACCCGCGACAACCAGAUUAAGAGUCUGGUGCUCUACCGACUGAGCUAACCGGGCGGCAUU